AGGUUACACUUGGAUUGACGCUCGGCUGUUUCACAGCACGAGUGAUUUGAUGGAGGGUCAGUGACGGUCUGGGGAAGCAUAUCCCUGCAGGGAUGCAAAGACCUCUCUACAGGCCAGGCAACGGCACCCUGACUGCUAUUAGGUAUUGGGAUGAAAUCCUUGGACCGACCGUCAGAUGCUACAGCGAUGCAGUAGAUGCAAGGUUCCAACAUUCUGUGCACAGACUAUUCGGACAGAAUGUUCAUGCGAAGUGUUUGUGCCCAACAUCCUGUGUGCGGGAUGUUCAUACCCAACCACUGACUGGCCCCCAUGUUCGCCUGACCAAUAGACCCAAUAGAACAACUCUGGGAUAUUAUAUUUGGAUCCAUCCGACGCCGCCAGGUUGCAUCUUAGAGAGUCCAGGAGCUCUGGUCCAGAUCUCGGAGGACAUCCUGCAGGACAACAUCCAUCUCUUCAUUCGGAGCAUGUCCUUAUGUUGUCAGGCAUGCAUACAAGCACAAACUACUGAGUACCAUUCUAAGUUGCUGCAAUGAAAUUUCAGCAAACUAUACUAGCCUGCCACAUCAUUUUUACACUUGGAUUUUCAGGGUGUCUAUAAUUCAGCUUUGAAGUAAGUUAAUUUUUUACUUCCAUCAAACGAUGUGGCAUUCUUUGAUUCCAAACAUGUUAUUUAUUUUAAAUUUUUUAUUUUUUUUUAAAGUUCUUUAUUCAAUGAUUCAAUGAGUACGAUGCAUAUAUGAAUUCGAUUUAACUUUCAGUUUCAGUAUCCAAUUUUUACCAUGCUCAUUCUUUAUUAGUACAACAUUAUUACUCACUUUUUAUUACUCUUGAUUUACUUCUAAUGACAGAAUGUUUCAACUUGACUUGGCGUGCUCAAUGACAGCGACAGAAUUUAGCCAGCUGAUGCAGUUACUAAAACCAGCAUGAAAACGAACCCUUUAUUAUAGUUUAGCAAAAAUCUGAAACAUGUACGUGUUUACCUAGAUUGUGUGUGAGCUUUUACUAUUGUCUGUUAUCAAAGAUAUUGGUAAUACUAACAAAGCAGAAUGAAAAGCUACUGUUUAUUUAACUAACUAAACAAACUGAUUGGUUUACCUCAUUCUGCGAUCAGAACUCCCUGUGAGUGCAUAGCAGUUAGUACCAACCAUUUUAUGUCAUCACUGACAAUGUCGCAAAAUCUCUGAAGUGCCCAAGAGAGUGUGUUGGUAGAACGUAGGGUAGAUGCUUUAAACAACUUCUUUUUGUUGAGCAUGACUGUUAAAAGCAUAUUUCUUGGUUUGGAAAUCUAUGCACUUAUUUUCUUUAUAUUUCUCUUCAUCGCCCCGGUCACUUGUUACAUUCUCUAAGAAGUUUUUUGGUGCAGGUCGCUUAACAUGGAAAGAGGGUUCUUCCUCCCCACAAUUGCCAAGUUAUUGGUAAAAGGAGACUGAUUGCUGGUGUUCUGUCUCUAAUAUUGGGAGAAUAUAUACAUAUCUUUAGAUGAGUGCUAUUGUGAAAUUGGAGCCACAUAAAUAAAACUGAAUAAAACGAAUCAGGAUAUUUAACA